rnacentral:rRNA from 1 species
UACGUAGGUGGCAAGCGUUGUCCGGAUUUACUGGGCGUAAAGGGCGUGCAGGCGGUCUGUUAAGUGCAGGGUGAAAGCUCCCGGCUCAACUGGGAGAGGUCCUUGCAUACUGGCGGACUUGAGGGGGGUAGAGGAAAGGUGGAAUUCCCGGUGUAGUGGUGAUAUGCGUAGAUAUCGGGAGGAACACCUGUGGCGAAGGCGGCUUUCUGGGCCCUACCUGACGCUGAGACGCGAAAGCGUGGGGAGCGAACCGGG